rnacentral:snoRNA from 1 species
CUGCAUGCCAGUAGACCUUAUCUGGCUCCUCUAAUAACCAGAUGAGGGGGAUGGUUCAUGCCACAAAAACCUGGGGUUGCUGUAGGCUGUGAUCAGCCUCAAGGUGGCUGAUUAAACUGCAAUACUCCAACAUAU